GGCCAACACAGAAGCCAAUCCAAUAUAUUAAAUAUUUAGGGGCUCAACAACAUAGCCAACAAGCCAAGCAACUUAUUCUACCCAACCCAUUACAAGGCUUAGCCAAGGAAAAGAACCCUACGUGGCUACAUGCAUCACCCACCAAUCGCCACCAACAGAAAAGCACCACCACAAAACACCAUUCUCCAUGUGGUAGAGAUAGUAGAAAGAUAGAGCAUAAAUCAGAUCUUAUAAGCAUGUGCAAGUCUGAGGCUGAAGAAAGAAAACAACCUAGUUACCAAAAUCCACAAGGAUAAGUUGUUGGACUAUCUUGAAAAGCCAUGAAAGCAACGAAAAACUUCACCAAACUAAGCAAAGGGUAGUUCCAAUGGGGCUCCUUGAUGUUCCAUUCGCACCGAUCGAGUCGACCCUCAUUAUCGCACCCUGUGAGCUAAUCAUCAGUCAAGAUUGGUACACAAGUCAGUAACAGAGGAGCCCAAGCUGUUCAGAGAGCUUCCAAACCACUUAUAAAUAGUCACAAAACGCACAUAUAUUUAAGAUAAUGCUGCUCAAAUCAAUCGAAACAAUUCUUAUUGGUAAAAUUUUGACCUACAGGAAAAAUCAAAAUAAUAUAUGCAAUUCAAUCCAAACAAGGGGAGAGUAUAAACUCGCUAUCGGGCUAGAGAAGGUGGAGGCCCGCCAGCCCUUGAAGGGGAGAGUAUAAACUCGCUAUCGGGCUAGAGAAGGUGGAGGCCCGCCAGCCCUUG
rnacentral:misc_RNA from 1 species